UCAACACAAACCAUAUAUGUUCUGCAACAUCGUUCAACAGUAGUUAAGCACUUUAAUUGUUGUUAUAAAACCCCAAACCACUGUUGAUGAAAGGCAUAUUAAAAUUAAACAAAACCAAAGGCUUAUCUUUCAAACAAUGCAUAUCUCACAAACAGGCACUGAACACUGAAAAAAUCGGACAAAAAAAAAGAGCCGUCCACAACAACUCAAUUUAAAUGUUACUGAUGGUGUUUUGAUAAAUCACAUGACAGUGUUAUGGCAAGUGACCACAAGGAAGACUGCUUCAACCUCUACAAUUUGAAUAAGCGUUGAAUACCAUGUAGCAAUCUGCCUAUGGGAGCAUCUUUGUGGUCAUUCGCAAACCAAUGAGUCCACUCGAUGAAUGAGAGAUGGCUCUUUAGUGUCUUCUCUGUGAGGUAUCGCUGCAGUCUCCACAUCUGGGAUUUGAAGGCUGACCAAGACCUGACCAGGUACCUCCAAAUCUCCCCUUCCAUACUGUAAUAAAGAAUCAGAAGACAAGAAAAUAAACAGUAGGACUGUCAAUUAAUGAACAUUUUUAGAACAUGUAGAACUCAAAGAUUAUUUUGCUUAUCAGUUAAGAAACGAUGCUGGUCCUCUGGCAAUUGUGUUUGGUCAUAUUGAAAAGAGAAAAAGGCAUAGCCAUAAAUACAGUUAAUAGGACGGGAGGGGACAGGCUGUUUGCUCCGGUUAGCACUUUAGCAUCGAGCUAGCGGAGCUUCUGUCAUUCAAACAACUCUGACAUGUUGUUUAAAACCUAUAACACCCAAUUUAUUUAAAUAUCCGGAUUUAAUCAGGCUCUCUCCCAUAAGUGCAGUUAAUAGGACAGGAAGAGACAGGCUCUGUUAGCCCCGGUAAGUGCGAUGCUAAAGAGCAGCUCUACCGGAGCAUGCUGCCUCAACAGGUGCAAGUUAGCCUCCGGUUUGAUAUUCGCCAGAUAUUCGGUUUACCACCCAAUCGGAUUCAUCAAAAUAAGUGCAAUUAAUAAUUUCAAAUAUAGUUUAGUCGAUUUUUGUCGAACAUUAAACUAUUAACUGCAUUAUGAUUAACUAUUAUGCAAUAUAAUUGUGUGAUUAAUUUCCUGAAACAAUUCCAUGGUAACGUCUCUGCCACCAGUCGGUGAGUGUAAUUUGUUGACGGCCCCUGAAACAGGCAGCAGCCAGAACGUAAAUGAUGUUGUUGCACAGACAUCGAUGGCGACAACAUGUGUUUGUGAUUUUUCGCGAUACGGUGUCCUAAACCGUCCUCAACAUACUAAGCCCUAUGGAAGGGGAGAAUUGGAGGUACCUGGUCAGGUCUUGGUCAGCCUUCAAAUCCCAGAUGUGGAGACUGCAGGGAUACCUCACAGAGAAGACACUAAAGAGCCAUCUCUCAUUCAUCGAGUGGACUCAUUGGUUUGCGAAUGACCACAAAGAUGCUCCCAUAGGCAGAUUGCUGCAUGGUAUUCAACACUUAUUCAAAUUGUAGAGGUUGAAGCAGUCUUCCUUGUGGUCACUUGCCAUAACACUGUCAUGUGAUUUAUCAAAACACCAUCAGUAACAUUUAAAAAAGAUUUGUCUGAUUUUUUUCAGUGUUCAGUGCCUGUUUGUGAGAUAUGCAUUGUUUGAAAGAUAAGCCUUUGAUUUUGUUUAAUUUUAAUAUGCCUUUCAUCAACAGUGGUUUGGGGUUUUAUAACAACAAUUAAAGUGCUUAACUACUGGUGAACGAUGUUGCAGAA